UACAGAGGUCUCAAGCGUUGUUCGGAUUCAUUGGGCGUAAAGGGUGCGUAGGUGGCGUCGUAAGUCGGGUGUGAAAUUUCGGAGCUUAACUCCGAAACUGCAUUCGAUACUGCGGUGCUUGAGGACUGGAGAGGAGACUGGAAUUCAUGGUGUAGCAGUGAAAUGCGUAGAGAUCAUGAGGAAGACCAGUGGCGAAGGCGGGUCUCUGGACAGUUCCUGACACUGAGACACGAAGGCCAGGGGAGCAAACGGG
rnacentral:rRNA from 1 species